CCCAGCAGCCAUAUCACUCUGCAACUCACAACUGGCAACCCACUGAAGCUAAGCUGAGCCUGGUCAGUACCUGGAUGGGAGACCUCCUGGGAAACUAAGGUUGCUGCUGGAA
rnacentral:rRNA from 1 species